GACGAACGCUGGCGGCGCGCUUAACACAUGCAAGUCGAACGGAAAGGCCUGCUUUCCCUUGUGGAUUGCGGGUACUCGAGUGGCGAACGGGUGAGUAACACGUGAGUGAUCUGCCCCCAACUUGGGUAUAAGCCUGGGAAACUGGGUCUAAUUCCCGAUAGGACUGCAGGGUGGUGCCUGUGGUGGAAAACGAUUUUCUAGUGGUUGGGGAUGAGCUCGCGGCCUGUCAGCUUGUUGGUGGGGUAAUGGCCUACCAAGGCGGCGACGGGUAGCCGGCCUGAGAGGGUGGACGGCCACAUUGGGACUGAGAUACGGCCCAGACUCCUACGGGAGGCAGCAGUGGGGAAUAUUGCACAAUGGGCGGAAGCCUGAUGCAGCGACGCCGCGUGGGGGAUGACGGCCUUCGGGUUGUAAACUCCUUUCGACCGCGAGGAAGCCACCUGGUUGGAAGGGUGGUGACGGUAGUGGUAGAAGAAGCACCGGCUAACUACGUG
rnacentral:rRNA from 1 species